UUCUUUGGACAUGCUGACAUCGUUGCCCAAGCCAAAGCUCUGUGUGAAGUGGAAGGAGGGCCCACCUAUGAAAUAAUACUGAAGGGAGAGGCUUCCCUGGUCAACUAUUCCUUUGACACCAAGGAUAUUAACUAUGGAUUACAGGGUAAGGGCAGUACCCAGUGGAUGGGAACGGAGGGCCACUCUUCCUUCUCCUCCUCUCAAGCUGUUCAACUAUGUCACGGAGCGUGAAAUCACAC
rnacentral:lncRNA from 1 species